UACGGAGGGUGCAAGCGUUAUCCGGAUUCACUGGGUUUAAAGGGUGCGUAGGUGGGUUGGUAAGUCAGUGGUGAAAUCUCCAGGCUCAACUUGGAAACUGCCAUUGAUACUAUUAGUCUUGAAUUCUGUUGAGGUGGGCGGAAUACAUCAUGUAGCGGUGAAAUGCUUAGAUAUGAUGUGAGAACACCGAUUGCGAAGGCAGCUCACUAAGCAGACAUUGACGCUGAGGCACGAAAGCGUGGGGAUCAAACAGG
rnacentral:rRNA from 1 species